CCGCCGCAGCCAGCGGCCCCGUCCCGCCGUCCGGGGCUGUCCCGCCGGGCCCUGCCGGGAGGCUGUCGCGGCUGCGCAGGCGCCUCAGAGCCCGGCCGCUCCGGCUGCUGCCGCUGCCCAUCGCGCGCCCGCCCGCAAUCAGUGGGCUGUCUUAACCACCCAGUUGGAGGAGAUGGGCCCAAGACAGUCUUUGAUAUCAUUUGGAUGCUCUGAGUCCGCAGAUGGAUCUAGUUUGGAAGCUAUUAAUAAUGUUUUCUUUUUAAGAAAACAAAUCUCAUCUUGAAACUCUUUAAGCCUAGGGGGAAAAAAACAUUCAGAAGUUAAAUAAAUUUUUCGUGAACUAA